rnacentral:rRNA from 1 species
UACGUAGGUGGCAAGCGUUGUUCGGAAUCAUUGGGCGUAAAGGGCGCGUAGGCGGCCGAUCAAGUCGGAGGUGAAAUCCCUCGGCUCAACUGAGGAAUUGCCUUCGAUACUGUUCGGCUUGAGUCCUGGAGAGGGUAGCGGAAUUCCCGGUGUAGCGGUGAAAUGCGUAGAGACCGGGAAGAACACCAGUGGCGAAGGCGGCUACCUGGACAGGUACUGACGCUGAAGCGCGAAAGCUAGGGGAGCAAACAGG